rnacentral:lncRNA from 1 species
CUCACGUAAUACUUGGGAAGCUGCUCACGACACACCAACCUCAGGUCUUGAGGUUGAAUCCAGAUUCACUAAUGCUAUGUCCUUUUUCAUAGAUGCAGGGUGGCUUCAGGAAGUCUCCUAGGCUCUGUCUGGGGUGGGAGUCAAGCCCAGCAGAAGAAGAGCCUUCCUACACAUAGAUCUUCUAUGUCUCUGCACGGAUAUGAGGCCCUCCUAUGUUCCCAAGCAGAGAAUGUGUAGGAUGCUCAGAGUUUUCUGUGAAGUCUACACUCACACGUGAUGGAGGUGAAACAACAGACUCUGGAACAAGGAACAUGCAUGCCAUUCAUGUCCCUUCUUUUCUUCAGGACUCUCCUAUAGAUAUUCCUCUUAAGCUGAUAUUUAUCAUUGUCAUCAUCACCAUCACUCUUAAGUACAAGUUGGGGAAUAUCACUCCUUCAAUCAAGCUAAGGGGCUUCACAAUCUUUUGAAUGAAGACAGAUACUUGCAUGGUUUAGAGACAAGAGCUGGGUAGGGACAAUGGUUCAGCAAAGUGCUUUCUAUGCAAGCAUGAGACCCAAAUUCAGAUCUCCAGAGCCUAUAUGAGGACCACGUGUGAUGCUUGUCUAUAACCACUGUUACGAUUUGUAUAUGCUGGCCCAGGAAGUGGCACUAUCAAAGGUGUGGCCCUGUUGAAGUAGAUAUGGCCUUGUUGGAGUAGGCGUUUCACUCUGAGUGUGGUAUUUAAGACCCUCAUCCUAGCUGCCUAGAAGCCAGUAUUCUGCUAGCAGCCUUCAGAUGAAGAUGUAGAACUCUCAACUCCUCCUGCACCAUGCCUGCCUGGAUGCUGCCAUGUUCCCACCUUGAUGAUAAUGGACUGAACCUCUGAACCUGUAAUCCAGUCUCAGUUAAAUGUUGUCCUUAUAAGAGUUGCCUUGGUCAUGGUGUCUGUUCCCAGCCGUAAAACCCUAACUAAGACAACCACUGUCGUGCCUAGGUCUGUUUAUGUCAGCUUGACACAGGAUAGAGUUAUCUGAACGAAGGGAACUUCAAUUGAGAAAAGGCUUCCACAAGAUCUGGUUGUCAUUAUCUUAAAUAGUGAUCAAUGAGAAAAGGCCCAUCUCAUUGUGGAUGGUCCCAUCUCUGGGCUGGUGGUCCUGGGUUCUAUAGGAGAGUAGGCUGAGCAAACCAUGAGUUAGUAAGCCAUGUACCAUUCUAUGACCUCGGCAUCAGCUCCUGCCUCCAGGUUCUGGUCCUGUUUGAGUUCCUGUCUUGGCUUCCUUCACUGAUGGACUGUACUGUGGAAAUAUAAGACAAAUAAAC